AAGUCGUAACAAGGUUUCCGUAGGUGAACCUGCGGAAGGAUCAUUACCAAGAGUUGCAGGCUUUGCCUGCCAUCUCUUACCCAUGUCUUUUACGUACCGCAUGUUUCCUCAGCAGGCUUGCCUGCCGUUAGGACCCCAUUAAACCCAUUGCAGUUGCAGUCAGCGUCUGAAAAACAAAAUAAUUACAACUUUCAACAACAGAUCUCUUAGUUCUA
rnacentral:misc_RNA from 1 species